rnacentral:rRNA from 1 species
UUGGAGGGCAAGUCUGGUGCCAGCAGCCGCGGUAAUUCCAGCUCCAAUAGCGUAUAUUAAAGUUGUUGCAGUUAAAAAGCUCGUAGUUGAAUUUCGGGAUUAGUAGGUUGGUCGUGCCUCCGGUAUGCACUGGCUUUACUGGUUCCUCCUUCUUGAAGAACUGUAAUGUCAUUAAUUUGGUGUUGCAGGGAAACAGGACUGUUACUUUGAAAAAAUUAGAGUGUUUAAAGCAGGCUAACGCUUGAAUACAUUAGCAUGGAAUAAUGAAAUAGGACGUUUGAUCCUAUUUUGUUGGUUUCUAGGAUUGACGUAAUGAUUAAUAGGGAUAGUUGGGGGCAUUAGUAUUCAAUUGUCAGAGGUGAAAUUCUUGGAUUUAUUGAAGACUAACUACUGCGAAAGCAUUUGCCAAGGAUGUUUUCAUUAAUCAAGAACGAAAGUUAGGGGAUCGAAGACGAUCAGAUACCGUCGUAGUCUUAACCAUAAACUAUGCCGACUAGGGAUCGGAUGAUGUUAAUUUUUUAAUGACUCAUUCGGCGCCUUACGGGAAAC